rnacentral:lncRNA from 1 species
ACUACUCAAGUGCAACUUACUGAAGUGGUUUUUGAGAGGAUAAACAAUGUAUUAAGAAAAAGAAGUAACGACAUUGCAAAAUAACAGAGCUUCAUUUCACUUUGAAAUGACAAACCAGUGACACGUCAAAUACCCUUCAUUUACCACAAACCUUGUAGUAUUUUUCCGCAGGAAACAAAUACAAAUGCACGUCCGUGUAGGCUAUUGCAACAGGUUUUAAUGACUAGGCGUUGACCCAUAAGAAACACCAGCUAUUUUUUUGAACAAGUGGGCGGUGUGAGUUUAUACUUCCUUUGCCUUACCACUAGAAACUGUUUAUCAUCUAAACAGGCCUUGUUUUUUAAAAGCCAAUUUUUAAAAAACAAAGAGGUAUUCGCAUUCCUCAGAAACGUUUGAGGAUGUCAUAAUAUAUGAAAAAGGUCUGUGUAAACCAUAAAAACAUGCAAGCCAGCAUCAGUAGACAUGACUGUGCAUGCUCUGAAGGAUGCAAUUAAAGGGACAGGUCACUCAAAAAUGAAACUGAGUCAUUCUCAUGGUUUCCAAACCUGAAUGACUUCAGAGACUUCAAAAAGAGACUUCAGGUAGAAUAUUAUCGACUGACAGUCAGCAUUCACUUCCAUUGUAUCUUAUGCCAUUCAAUGAAAGAUGAAUGGAGACUGGGACUCAUCUCAUUUCGUGUUUCACAGCAAAAAGAAACUCAUACAGGUUUCGAACAACAUGAGGACGAGUCAAUAAUGACGACGUUCUAAUUUUUGUGCCAUCCUUCUGAAAUACACACGCGCGCGAGCGCCCAGGUGCUUCAUUUCAGGAUCACAGACAGGGGAACCGAAACGGUCAGCAGUGCUUCCAGGAAGCGUCACCGGGGAGCACGCGCGCCGACAGACAGAGGAAUGCAGCAGCGUCCGCGACUCUCCGUCAGGCAGCCGCGAAACUAGAAGGUUCGCAGGCAGCGUGCGUGGCUCGGAGUGCGCGACGGGGUUUUUAUUUUACCGCUGUCGGCGCGAGCUGCUGCUGACGCGAUGCUUUAGCCAUGGACAGCAGGUUAAACGAGAAUCCUGCGAGAACCUUUGAUUUGGCUCUUCAGGUUGCAUGUCCAUCAUCUGAACAUGAAGCAUAACUGAUGUAGUCAUGAAGCAGCCCCAGCAGCACAGCAUGUGACAUCUUCUACAUCAUCCAGGGCAGUGUCCUCCUUUAAAACCACUGUUGCAUCAGUUUAGGGGAAAGGACAUUCUCUUCUUUGACCACCAUUCAUCCCAGUCACCACCUGUUCUCCAUCAGUGGCCUAAAAAGAGAAAAUCUGUCUAUCACAGCGCUCCAGAAUGCUAUAAUGGCAGCACUAGUGUGAGGGCAUGUAAUAUUGUUUAAAUUAAAUAAAUUUGGAAUUAUUUUUGGAAUGACAUGAGGGCAAGUAAAUUAUUUUUUGUGUGAACUAUUCCUUUAAGAAAGGAAGACCAAGAAUAAUGACUCUCCAAAUCAGACAACUCCAAAGUUGGUUUGAGUCCUGCAAUGAAAAACACAGACAUCAAUGGUUUUCAUGAAAUAUGAGCACGUAAUCACACUGUUGUUGCAUCAAAAUGUGAAGUAAGCAGGCAGGACACAAUAGAAACAUUUAUUUUCUAAAAAUAACUCACACCAGUCUCAGAAGAAUUAAGUUAUCUUAUGUCUCUGGCUUUCAAUAUCUACAAAAACAAACAUUCCUUAGUUUUAGUAAAAAAAAAAAAAAGACGAUAACAUGAUGGAAUUAUGAAACUACAUUCAGUUUAACCACGAAAAAUAAGAUAACAAAUUAACAUGAAAAUCUGUUGAUAACCAUCUAUUAACACCAAAAAAAAGUGCAUAUUUUGUAAAAUCUUAUGUAAAUAUGACAUAAGACACUCACGGACGUUAUAUUAAAAGUACCUCUUCCGUUCAGUAAAAGAGGCGUUUCUGAGGUGAAAACAGUGUCCACGUAUUUUUCAAUUUAAGCUAUUUUAUUUCCACCUAAAUAAAUAAAAUUAACAUAAACCAAUGAAUGAUAAACUUUACAUUUUAAUUUUUACUUUACCAUAAU